UAAUUUCUCGAUGUGCUGUUCAAAGGGAAAAGAUCCCACGUUCUGUAAACAAGUGGAGCGAGAGUUGUGGUUUGACAAAAGUGGAGUGUAUUUGUGGAACUUGAAUUGUAACUGUGGAAUCUGAUUAUCAGUGGAUGACAUGAAGUUAGAUUGAGGCUGUACAUUGAGUUGAUAAAGGUGUAUUUUGGCGCUGACGAAUGCUGUCAUUCUUUUCGUUUGGUAUGACGACUGUUGGAGCAAAGUAAAAGGCGGUUGAAAAGAAAGCCGUAUUUCUUUAGCUCGGCUCACCAAAUAUGUAUGUGAUGACGUAAUGGAACACGCAGUAUCAGAAAAGCGGGUUCUUUUUAAGUUGUGUCAGUAAGAAAAAGAUAGCAUCUAAUGUAGCUUCAGAAGGCAACAAUUCUUUUUAGAUGGAGUGACCAGUUGUAACGGUGUGCUGUAAUCUACCUUUGCGCGUGUAGUUGUCUAUCUACGCAUGUCUAUGAGACAUACAGAACUGUCCUACAUACAAAGUAAUCAGAGAAAUCCCUUAAUUUCUUAAUCAAAAGUCACUAACAAGAACUGCAACCUCUUCAUGUGUGGAGACUGAGAUUAGCAGUGUGUAAGAACAAGAACCGGAGAAAAUCAGAAAGUUAAUCAGUAAAAUUUUUGUCUGGCUCUCAAGGAUUUCAAAGAAACAGCAGCAGUUAGUGUAACUAAGCAGUUUGACAUCAAAAAUAUUUCAGGAAUACAAUGGUUAAUCUUUGUCGUCAAAAUUUAUUUC
rnacentral:lncRNA from 1 species